ACGGCUCAGUAACACGUGGACAACCUACCCUCAGCACGGGGAUAAACCCGGGAAACUGGGUAUAAUACCCGAUAGUUCUGGGAAGCUGGAAUGCUCCCAGGACGAAAGCUCCGGCGGCCGAGGAUGGGUCUGCGGCCUAUCAGGUAGUAGUGGGUGUAACGUACCUACUAGCCUACGACGGGUACGGGUUGUGAGAGCAAGAGCCCGGAGAUGGAUUCUGAGACACGAAUCCAGGCCCUACGGGGUGCAGCAGGCGCGAAAACUUUACAAUGCCGGCAACGGCGAUAAGGGAACCUCGAGUGCCAGGUUACAAAUCUGGCUGUCGUGAUGCCUAAAAAGCAUUGCAUAGCAAGGGCCGGGCAGGACCGGUGCCAGCCGCCGCGGUAACACCGGCGGCUCGAGUGGUAACCGUUAUUAUUGGGUCUAAAGGGUCUGUAGCCGGCCGGAUAAGUCUCUUGGGAAAUCUGGCAGCUUAACUGUCAGGCUUUCAGGAGAUACUGUCUGGCUCGAGGCCGGGAGAGGUGAGAGGUACUUCAGGGGUAGGGGUGAAAUCUUGUAAUCCUUGAAGGACCACCAGUGGCGAAGGCGUCUCACCAGAACGGACCUGACGGCAAGGGACGAAAGCUAGAGGCACGAACCGGAUUAGAUACCCGGGUAGUCCUAGCCGUAAACGAUACUCGCUAGGUGUCGGCCACGGUGCGACCGUGGUCGGUGCCGUAGGGAAGCCGUGAAGCGAGCCACCUGGGAAGUACGGCCGCAAGGCUGAAACUUAAAGGAAUUGGCGGGGGAGCAC
rnacentral:rRNA from 1 species